rnacentral:rRNA from 1 species
UGGGGAAUAUUGCACAAUGGGGGAAACCCUGAUGCAGCGACGCCGCGUGAGCGAAGAAGGUUUUCGAAUCGUAAAGCUCUGUCCUAUGAGAAGAUAAUGACGGUAUCAUAGGAGGACACCCCGGCUAAAUACGUGCCAGCAGCCGCGGUAAUACGUAUGGGGCGAGCGUUGUCCGGAAUUAUUGGGAGUAAAGGGUACGUAGGCGGUCUAUUAAGUCAGGUGUGAAAGCGUGAGGCUUAACCUCAUUAAGCACUUGAAACUGAUAGACUUGCGUGAAGGAGAGGAAAGUGGAAUUCCUAGUGUAGCGGUGAAAUGCGUAGAUAUUAGGAGGAAUACCGGUGGCGAAGGCGACUUUCUGGACUUUUACUGACGCUCAGGUACGAAAGCGUGGGGAGCAAACAGG